rnacentral:rRNA from 1 species
AUCGAGAAUCUUUCACAAUGGGGGCAACCCUGAUGGAGCGACGCCGCGUGGAGGAUAAGGUCUUCGGAUUGUAAACUCCUGUCAUGCGUGAACAAGGUUGCUUGGUUAAUACCUGGGCAAAUUGAUGGUAACGCAAGAGGAAGAGACGGCUAACUCUGUGCCAGCAGCCGCGGUAAUACAGAGGUCUCAAGCGUUGUUCGGAAUCACUGGGCGUAAAGGGUGCGUAGGUGGCGUGGUAAGUCAGAUGUGAAAGCCCGGGGCUCAACCUCGGAACUGCAUCCGAUACUGCCAUGCUAGAGUACUGGAGAGGUGACGAGAAUUCUCGGUGUAGCAGUGAAAUGCGUAGAUAUCGAGAGGAAUACCAAAGGCGUAGGCAGGUCACUGGACAGUUACUGACACUGAGGCACGAAGGCCAGGGGAGCGAACGGGAUUAGAAACCCUGGUAGUCC